UGGUGACGGCGGUGAUCGAGCUUGAGCAACUGUAUCUCUUUUUCUGGGGUGUGGAACUAUGGAUCCUGGUGACUCCCCCAUCGUGACAAACAAGGUUCGACUUGCUUUGAGUUGCAGACAGCGGCAGCGGUGGACAGCCACCAGCUCAUCCUGGAGGUUCCUUAUGUGUGGGUGGAUGAGUGUAUCUAAAUGACUAAAUCUAACAAAUUUUCCCUGGCAAAUGUGGAGAGGUGACAUUGCGGAGCAAGCGCUGUCUAUUGUGCAUUAGAUAAAUGAUGAAGAGACAAGAGCCAUGGAUGCUCCUUCAGGUUUCAUGUGUAUUGUGCGUUCUCAGUACUGAUACCAUAUGAGAUUAGUAUUAGAAUUUCUGAAAAUGAUUCGCCAGAAGGUUCGGCCUCGCAAGGUACAGCUGUGUUUCUGUAUCUUAAUACAUUUUCAUGGACAAUGCUCAGUAUCUCCACGCCAUAAAUAGAAGGUACAGGGGAAGAGUCCACCUACUAAUGUAUCCAAGCAUCGUCCUAUAGUGUCCCCUGCAGACUGCUACAUUUCAACAAGAAUAUUUGAUGCGUAAUUUGUUAGCCUUCUUUGAGUCUUUAUUUGCUACUCUACAUAAACAUAGAGGGCAUAGCCUGAAAGAAACUGAUCAGUUGUCACUAAUAUGUUCACCAAUCUUUUGUGAAACUGACUCGCAUAUGGUGAGUCUCAAUAUUUUAAAAAUAAACUUAAUUAGCUCUAAUCUGCUAUAGGUGUAGUUAAUUAUUUUCUUAAUGGCAAUUUAGGAACCACAAAACAUGUAUGUGCAACAGUAUAACUUCACUCCUUGUGAAACCUGAUGACUACAGUCUGGUGCUAAUGGUAAUAGGACCAAUUGUUGGUGCCUCUUACUCAUUUGUUUUUGAACCAGAACUUGGGUUUAGUUGGUUAUUUGUUGUUUCACCCAAUCCAAAGAUUGUGUUCCACCAUAUCGGUAGUGCUGAAUAGUAUUGUAUGUAAGGAUGCAGAUUGUGCCACUAGAUCCUCUAUUAGGAGAGUGUGUAAGUAAGUAUGGCACUGACAAAACCACUCCCUGUGUGAUGCAUUGCUUUUCCGUUUUCCAUUUUCCCUGUUUGGCCCCUCAGUGUGUUUGUUGUUAACCUUCAGAUUCACAUAAGUCUGUCAUGCCUUAGAUUUAUGUGCAUAUUCAUAUAACUUGCAAGUAAUACCUUCUUCUCUCCUCCAUGCAUUUUCUUAUAUUUCAGAUGUACACUAAUCGACUCGUGAGUGCAGAUUUUACUCACCUGUUAAGAUAAUCUUGGUAAUAUUGUCAGCAAUUUUCUAAUGAAACCAAAUUCAGGUGGUUGCAUCAAUACCUGAUCGUCCUUCCUCAUUAUUAAAGAAUGACAUAGCAUAUUUUGAAGUGAUAAUGCCUUUCAGGGAAAAACAUGGUUAAUCAUGUUAAUAUCCGUGCUUCGCGCUCGGGUCAACCAUCAGAUCAGUAUGGCAGGGCUAAUGCAGAGGUUCGUCUUGGCAAGCUGCUGGUUGGCUGUUCUGAAGGUAGCUAUUUUCUUCCUCUUUCCCUAUUAUACAUUCGCUCGGUCACUCUUCUUUUUCUCUUUGUUUUCCAACUUACAAGCAAAUUGGGAGCAUUUGAGACAGGCAAGGAUAUGAUCCUUAGAGAACUAGCCAGGAAAGUAUCCGGAAGACAAAACCCAUGAGAGUAAUAAGGAAGGUGUACACGUUUGCAGCAUGCUGAGGUAUAAUAGACUGUAUGGAAUGGAACAUGAAAAUGUAAGGCCAUUGUUUGCGUCAUUGGUCCCUCAGUGGUGAAAGAUAUUCUCGAUCCAUGCGGCCUUGCUGAUGUGCUAA